UCGACCUGAGCUCAGGCAAGACUACCCGCUGAACUUAAGCAUAUCAAUAAGGCGGAGGA
rnacentral:rRNA from 1 species